GGAUAGCUCAGUUGGGAGAGUAUGAGACUCUUAAUCUCAGGAUUGUGGGUUCGAGUGCCACGUUGGGCA